CCGGCUUCUCGAGGGGAUCAGUAAACGGUCCAAACUGUCUGGCCUGUCUUGAUAUGUUAAAGAAACAACAGACACGUGUAACUGUCUCAACUUGGAUGACAGACAAUAGCUAAUUCAUUAAACGGUUAGGAACAAUGUAAAGGAUACUGAUCCUACACUUUAUCGCUGUUUCGUUAAAGCAAGGUCAUGCCAUAACCUUGUGAAAAAUGGCGCGUAUACUUAUCUUCCAGACAGCCAAACUAAAUUAUCUGUUAAUGCUCAAUCGCAUUUAGGUAAUGCAAGGUCACAUUAUCCCAUCAGAAAACGAAACGAAAGGAAGGGUGGAGAGAGAGAGAACAAAAAAAAAUGGCUGCAUAUUUCCCCCCCAGUAUGACCUCGGCUGACCUAACCCAAGGUCAAUCCCCUCAACUUGGUUUUCACACAAUAAAAAGCCAGCGCAUCCACUUGAAUUUCAUCAGUUCAACGUUGUCUCUCUCAGUAUUCUCACUACAUUAACUUUGUCAGAGACAUCUGCACAGCAGCUCUCAAUCAUCUUCUGUUUCUACUCGGCAAUACAUCUACGAUUUAUUUCAAGCUGUUUUAUUCGACACUACAUGUAUCUAGUAUGACCAGUUAUACGGAGUCACUGGGUAUUCAUUGUAGGGUCGAAUAAUGUCAGCCAUUAUCACGUCAACGUGCUCAAGUAUUCAAUUGAAUUAUUCGAGUUACAUAAUUUGUUUCAUGCGUAAUUGGUGCUCUUGGUUGCUCGGUCUUUAGGAUUUUUAUCAUCAUUCCUAAAGCUCGGCUAGCAGGAUCCACCAUUUUCGCUAUGUCUACCGUAACAAAAGUUUUACUUACACAGGAUGAGUAAUUGGCUUAGGUUUGUUGAUAUUGCUUGUUUUCCAAUGUUUGACUGCGUGUUCAAUGUCUUCUAGACUGAUGGCCGCCUCUUCCUGUAAAACGUAAAUCUGGAAUUAGUCUA